GCGAGCGAGCCCAGGAAAGACAGAUGUGUGACGUCACGAACAACUGUCUGUGCUACAGGAGUUGACUGCAGGCUGUAGUGUACUGCAUUAAUGUUCUUCAAGACUUUUACUACAUUAAUGUACUAAAUGAAUGUGCUACUUGAAUGUACCACUUCACUAUACAUGCCCAUACAAGCUUGAAAGUGUUGGACAACAAGUCCAACAUGUCCAACAACAAGUCUGACAUGUCCAACAUGGGCAGUCAAGUAACAGGACGUAAGCGAAGCAGCAACAAGGACAGAAGUACAGCAGAAGACGAGGCUUUAAAUCUUAUUGCCAAAGAGGCGGAGGCCAGGCUGGCAGCAAAAAGAGCAGCUCGGGCAGAGGCCAGAGAGAUCCGCAUGAGAGAACUUGAAAGACAACAAAAAGAGAUCUUUCAGGUACAGAAGAAAUAUUAUGGCUUGGACAGCAAAUUAGAUGACAGAGUGGACGACAAAUGGGGAGAUAUUGAGCAAUGGAUGGAGGACAGUGAGAGAUACUCACGCCCCUCACAGCUGUCAGACGAUGAUGAGCACAUGUCAGUGGGUGUCAGGGGCUCCUCCUUGGUCUUGCACAAGAAGUCCAAGAAAAAGAAGAAACAUAAGCAUAAAAGGAACGGCUGUGAUGAUGAUGAGUACAGUGUUGUGUCCAGCAGGAGUUCAAAACUCAGUGACGACAGCAAAGUCUCACGCUCAUCCAGAGGAGACCUAUUGUCUUUAGAGUAUAGUAGCUAUCCCAGGUCCAGAAGCUCCAGCAGGAACAGUUCAGCUCGUGCCAGUCCAGUGGACCAGUGUGCUUCUGUUGCUACUUUUUUAAGACGUGCAGCAAGUAGCAAUGCUCUCACCUGUAAUCUGGAUCAAGUUUCUAUUCCGGAUUUUUCUCAUAGUUCCAGUGCAGCUUCUACAAUAACUGCAACAACCAUCACAUCCCUGGGCGCCUCUUCUUCACGGACAGGAAGUGGAGAAACUUUGGAUGCUGAGAGUGCCGUGAGAGAAAUUAAAGAAAUUCAUGAACUUAAGGAUCAAAUUCAAGAUGUGGAAUCCAAGUACACACACAACCUAAAAGAAGCCAAGGAUGCUUUAACAGAAGUGGAAGAGAAGUAUCGAAAGGCUAUGGUGUCCAACGCCCAGCUGGACAAUGACAAGAAUAACCUGAUGUACCAAGUGGACACGCUGAAGGACUCUUUGAUGGAACUAGAAGAACUUUUGUCUGAGUCCCGGCGGGAAUACCAGGACAAAGUCAAGGAGUUGGAGCGAGAGAAACACGCCCACAAUGUGCUUCACUUCCAGCUGAUUACCAUGAAAGAAAGCCUUCAACAAAGCGAGGAACUGCUAAAUGAGAUCCGUCAGUUGCGUAUGAAACAGGACACGUUUUCUAGAGAGAUAUGUGACCUACAAGAGACACUGGAAUGGAAGGAUAAGAAAAUCGGGGCCUUAGAGCGACAAAAAGAAUACACGGACGCCAUCCGAACUGAGCGAGAUGUGCUGAGGGAAGAGGUUGUGAAGCUGAAAGACAUUCUAAAGAAACAUGGCGUGGUGUUGAGCAUCAAUGGCGGGGCUGCUGAGAUGGACGCAGCAAUCAGCAGCCGCGAGGAUUGCAGCAGCUCCCAAACUGAAGUAAACUGCAUGCUGGGAAGCUCAGUGGACGCUCAGUUAAGAAGUAGUGGAAAGGAAGAGGUGGAUCAAGAGCAGCAUCAAGAUGUGUUUGAGGAAAUGCAAACAAGUCGUUUGAGCGCUGAUACGCUGUCUAAUACUGACAAGGCAUCUAUAGUGGAAUCCUGCAGCACAUUGCAAUCCUCAAAAGAACAUGAAAUGCCUCUCAAAGUAGUCAAUGGUGGCCAAAGGUUGGAAUGGCAGGCUGAAGUUGAUGAACUUCCAAUCACAAAAGUCUUCAAUGAACUCCUUCUCAGUUCUGAGUUGGAAGAAAAUGCAAGUCAUUCUGAAGAUGUUCCACAUGUCAAGUCAGAUUUAGAAGAGAGAGUUACAACAACCAACGAUGUUAUUAAAGAUAACUUUAUUAACGUCUUUGAGGAGAACCCACACAAACCCAAAACCAUACAGAAAUAUAAUUUGAUAAACACACAAUCAUUUCUACAAAAUGUUAUUGAUUCAGAAUCAUGUACACAAGAAGAUUCUAAAGAUUCAGAAUCAUGUCUGGAAAAUGUCAAAGAAGCAGUAUCAUGUUCACAACAAAAAUGUAUAAAAGAUUCUGAAUUGCGUCCCCAAGUAGGAAAUGUCAAAGUCUUUGAGUCUGAGGCUAUCCUAGUUGUUUCAAACACUGAACGCCAUUGUGGAAGUGAAAAUGCUGAGACUAAAAAUAAUGGAGAAGAAAUACAAAUAGAGGGUCCACCUAAGAGUGUUAAUGCUCUUGGGCAAAAGAAGAAAAAGAAGAGGAGAGGCACAAAGAAAGGAGUGUCCCGUAAGGAAAUAAUUCAAUCUAAGGACAAUGAUAGAAUAUGUCCAAAAAAAAUCCAACUUGCAGCAGUUUCAGAAUGUAGCACUGGUGGUCACAUCUGUGAACGCAUUCAAGAAUCUUCUGCUGAUCAGGUUAUCAAAAAGGCCGACCAGCAUCAGGCUACUGAACAAAUGGAACACACUGAAGUCUCAAAAGUUGAACAACCAAACAAAUCCAAGAUGGAUUCAAUUAGUGGUCAAUGGAAUAAUGAAAAGCACUGGAAAGCAGUGAAGGAACCAGGCGAGGAUCGAGUUUUAAAAGAGACAGACAGGCAAGAUGCUAAACGAGUAGAUUCUGCACAAGUAGAACACCACGAAACAUCAAACGUUCAAAACCCCAAAGAAUCAAACAUGGAUCUAAUGUUCAAUACAGAAGAACACAGUUAUGAGCAGAAUGUGGAAGCAGAAGUAGACAUGAAAGAUGAAAAAAUCUCUCUACCUUUACCACUCAGUCAAACACAAAGUGAUCAGCGCACAGAUCAACAGGACUUGAAACAAACUUUAGAAUCUGUGAAAAGUGAGGGAGGAUCUACACAGAGUUCUGAUUCAAGGUUAAGUUUUCGUAUUGACUUUGUUAGCACCAACACCAAUAAAAGUUUGGAGAAAGAUGACAUGCCAACUGUAGACACACAAGAUGACGUGACAACCGUAGACACACAGGAUGACAUGACUACUAUAGACACAGCGUAUGACAUGACCACCGUAAACAGACAAGAUGAUGCGACAACCAUAGAAACACAGAAAGACGUGACAAUUGUAGACACACAAGAUGACAUAACCGUGGACACACAACAUGGCGUGACAACCGCAGACACGCAAGAUAUGACAAUCGCAAACACUCAAGACAUUUCAACCGUUGACACACAAGACAUGACAACCAUAGACACACAUGACGUGACAAACGUAGACACACAAGAUGUUGUGAUAACAGUCGACACACAAGAUGAUGUGACAACCGUAGACACAGAAGAUGACAUGACAACUGAAGACACAAUGGAUGACGUGACGACCGUAGACACAGAAGAUCACGUGACCACCAUAGACAGACAAGACAAUGGAGCUGCAAAGUGUAAUAAUGAAAUAACAGAAUUAGAAGUGGAAAGUAGUGUUAAAAAUGAAAGCCAUAUUCACUUGUCUGUGACUGAGGAGUCUACUGUCCAACUCCCAGAGUCACCAUCUGAACUGUCUGCUGCGAAGAACUCCAACAAUGAUGAUGUGCUCACUGGGGUUUCUGACAAAGGCCGGCUAGUGAGAAUGUGUACAAAUCAAAAGGAUGAAGAGCCACCAGCAGAAAGCAGAGAAAGCUCUUUUCCGUCUGUUACCAAUCCCAAUAAUAUAUUGGACGAAACCUCCCACCUGUCUGAAAUUGAGGAGGAACAUGAAUUGUUGGAUUUAGUCAAGCAAAAGAACUCUUCACAUGAGCAUGACAUUGAUGGGACUCAGACUGAACGUUUGACUUUGGGGUAUGAAGAUCAGAUUGAUGAUGCUGCCUCCAACACACAGGGGCAGACACAAAGCUCUCCUUAUAAUAUCAGUCCCAUGAUUGUGCAGCAACUUACUACUGAGCAAUUAACCUCCGAAGACAAUCCAGAGGAGCACAAAAACGGCAAAAGUGACCAGAAAAGUCUGAUUGCACAACCACUGCUGGAAUCAUCAAGUGUAAAGAAGUCUGAGCCCAGUAACACAAGUGACUACGAGCAGUGCAGUGAGGAGGACACCGAAGAAAAUGAGGAAGGGCAGUCCUUUGAUUUUGAUGACCUGAACACAGAUGUGGCUGUAGAAAUACACACCACUAUAGACCAGGAAGAAGUUGAGGCGAGGGUUGAUGUCCUGUCAGAUGACAAGAGUGAACUGUGUGUGCCACAAGGGAAGCAAAUGGAUGAUGAGGUGUGUACUGAUGCAGCUUCAGUAGACGAAGAUGCUGUAAAGGAACGCAGCAUUUUGGUUCAUUUGGAAGCUUCAUCUAAAAAUCUAGGAAUUGUGGAGGAGCAUGAGGAAAAAAUGGGGAAGAUGAGUGCGAUGGAUGAGCAAACCUGUGUUCCAAAAGACAGACAGCGUUCCAAAGCUGGGGGGUUUGGUGUUUUACAAAACAUAAGUGAAGACAAGGCUGUGCCUUUACCAGUAGAAGAAGCUUUAGAUGUUGUUGAACAACUGCAUGAAGUAGGCGCAAAGAGCGUGACCGUAAAAGAUGUGAAGAAAAAUUGCAAGAAAGGAAAAAGCAAAGGCAAAGAUGACUGCAAGAUGACUUAGAUGAAGACUUCAACAUGAAAUAUUGUGGUAUUUUGUUGAUGAAGUAGGACAUUUGGCAGUUUAUUUUUCUGGUUUGUUUAAUAUUCUGUGAACUUCAAAUUUUGUGUUUUUGUGUUAUAUUUGCAAACAAAUAAGUAAUUUGAACUUUUAUAAUGUAAAAUGCAAGCUUCUGCCAGCAGUUGUUUUGGUCAAAGUCAUUCAGCCAUCUUCUCCAUCCGUAGACUGAAGAAACAAUUCUGCCUGCACUACUGUUAUAUGACAAUAAAUGACAAUAAAGUUUGAUUUCAUUUAAUGUCAGAGUUACUAAACAAUAUAAAGACUCAUCCAGGUCAUGGUAAUCCCUCAAAGUUGAAUGGAGGUCUUCUCGUUAGUUAAAGACGUUGAAUCCAAUCUUCACUUUUAAGUGUUUUAAGAGUAAGAUACAGAGCAACAACCUUUUUCCGUCCCAUUAAAAUGUUUUACUUGCGAGCAGACAGUAGAAGAGGCUUGUGGGCAAGGGUCUACUGUAGGCCCGGGUCUACAAGCAGAGAAAUAGAACACAGACAGGACAGCGUGUAGGUCAGGGCUAAUCAAUUGGUGGCCCACAGGAACAAAACCAAACCAGCUGUAAGUUCAGUUCAAAACAUUUAGAAGAGACUAACAUUUUUUGCUGCAGAUUCCUGAAAACACUGGAACAAUCUCAUGUAGAUGAUCUUUGACUAACUUUUUUGCAGUAGGUCCUUAAAAACAGCAGUGCAGUCCUGUUGCUAUUGUUUGUGGUUGUGGUUAGUUUUUUUCUCUUUGGUGUCGCGCAGUGAAGCCUUUCGACUGAAUGUGGUGAAUAGUCUUCACUUUUGUAAUGUGUUAUGCUGUAGAGGUAACCUGUAGGCUUGUUUGGGUCUUUUUUUGCUUUUAGUAUAAUAACAACUAUUGGUGUUUUCCAGGCAGAAGGUAACUGACCUGACUGAAUUUCAGCGUUUUGUCUUGUAGAAUUUGCUUCUCCUCCAACUCAUGUGUGUUUUUUCACACCUACUCAGUGGCCUAGUGGGUAGAGUGUCCGCCCUGAGAUCGGUAGGUUGGGAGUUCAAACCCCGGCCGAGUCAUACCAAAGACUAUAAAAAUGGGACCCAUUACGUCUCUGCUUGGCACUCAGCAUCAACGGUUGCAAUUGGGGGUUAAAUCACCAAAAAUGAUUCCCGGGCGCGGCACCAUUGCUGCUCACUGCUCCCCACUACUCCCAGGGGGUGAACAAGGGGAUGGGUCAAAUGCAGAGGACACAUUUCACCACACUUUAACUUAACUUUAAUGUUGGACAGUCGUGGUUGUUUUUUUGGAUGCUGCUGACAAAGCAACCACGUAAGGAAACAGGACAUUCUAUCUCGUGUUCUCAGUGGCAGGCCGGGCCGUGCAUUAAACACCUAGGCCUUCAGUGAUGUCCUACAUAGUUUGACUUCAUUAAAUACCUCCCAAUAUUAUAUUUUAUGUCACCACAUGACUACGCCUGGAGAAAUACUGUACGGAAACACACGUGUGCAUGACUGGGCAUUGAAUUACCUCAAUAGUGUAGAAAACAGGCUAUUUUCCGGCACAUUUAACCUUAUCAGUAAUUAAAACACAUCUAUGUUGUACUGUCAAAAUUAAAAUAAUUGUAAAAACAUAUUAAACCUGAAAAAAUAAAUAAAUAGAAUAUUUAAACUCACAAUUUGCAGAACCCACCGUAAGCCAGGGGUGCUGAUCAUAGCUGGUUAAUUCGAUUGGAAGUGGCAGACAAACCGUUUUACUGACUGCAACAGGUUAGCUACCUUGAGGGUCAGCUGACCUCGUUUCACAGGAUCUAACUUAUCUUGAAAUGUCCUUCGUGAAGAGGGUCUUGCAGGUAUAUGUGCAACCUAAUUAACGUUUUCCUCUCCUUCGGCCAUCGUGUAAAAAAGCGAGUAGGUAUCCGAUUUCUCUGCUAGCUAAGUGUAGCUCUCGUGCAUCACUUGUGAGUCACAAGUGAGUACCCAAUCACAGGAGGCGUUAAUGUCAAGUUCAAAGGUUAAACAUGUGGCAACCUAGGGAGAUUUCAUGCAACGCUGGCAACAAGCUAGCUGAAUUCUGAUUGGAUAAAAGCUCUAAUAAAAACAGCUACACUGGAGCCUCAUAUGACAUGAAAAAGAUAUGAUGAAUACUUUCAUUUAUUUAGGGAAAAUUCAUUAAAAACAAAAUUAACUUAUCAAUUUAUGAUCAUGAUUUGUGUUAGGUCAACAGAGAAGGCCGUGCUGGCCCUGACGGCCCACUGCUGUGUGUUUUCUUUCAAGUGUAGUGGCCCUUGGUUUUUGUUGGUUUUGACAAAGACCCAGAUAGGACCUGAUACAUGUAGGAAUAAUCUCUCGGAUGUGUGUCUUUUGUUCUUGGUGGUAUAAUUCUUCUUUGCUCUGUUGUUGAUGUUCUGACAACUUCGAGUUUGCCUUCUAGAGGGUGAUGAGAGUCGAAGAGUAGGCACUGGUCUGUGUGGUUAGAUUUUCUGUAGGCCCACUUGAACACAAGCUACGAGUUGUCGGAACCCUCAACAAAAGACAAAACGGUCACAACUGUUUAUUAUAGACUUGCGUAAACACUCAGCAGAGACUGCUUUAAAACAAUCAGAACUGAAGAAACUUUUUGGAUUGAAGGAGGAACGUCUUUAACUACAACAAGAAGUCCUGCUUCAAAAUAGGACUUUAUCGGAUUAUCUAUUUCUAUGGAGUUAAUAUGAUGAGUUUAUUAGCUAAAUGUAUUUGUCUCUAUAUGCUUAACUGCACUCAAUCAACAUGCCCUUCCACAAAUAAAAGACAAAUAUACUGAUGCAAUCAUUGUUAAAUGUUUUGUUGAAGAAAUCUUCCAACUUGUAGUACAUCUUAAGAUUGUUGUUUGGAAAAGUUGUCUUCUCCUGAGUGUGUGCAUGUUAACACUCCAUCACCUUCCUUGAUGCACUUUGCAUGCAUCUGACCCAGUCCCCUCACAUCGCCUUUGGCCCCACCCACUCCUGAGAUUCGCCUCAGGAAACUAGUGGACGAGCGAGAAAAAAUGAUAGAGCAAAUACAGACGCUUAAAGACCAACUGGGCCAGAAGAACAACGGCACAGAUGGAAGUCCAAGCGCAGACGGUGAAGUUGUAGAAAACGGCA